GAUUGAUGGAUAAAGUUUUCACUCGGAUCGUCGACGUUUUGAUUGGCUUGACCUUGUUCUGCACUAGAGGUUUAGCAUCAUCAGGACAUUUAAAGGUUGAUGUGAUGUAUUUGACACGCCACAUCUAUUGGAUUUCCGUCUAAGUUUCAGUGGAUGAUGCAGUCUCUUGUUAGUAGUCUACUUUUUGGGUUGCCGUUGUCGAUCUUUAUAAAGCCAAAUCCUAGGCCAUGGCUAUCUGGAUUAGCGGACAAAGCGGAUUGUAUUAUAAAUAAUUGAAUGUUAUUAAAUAUAGCUUUCAAAUCAUUAAAAAAAAAUGGUUUACCCCAUCUCGUUCGUUUGUUAUAAGCCUUUGAAGAUUUUCCCAAUUUAUCUGGACCACCUUGUAAUAUAUAUUAAGAUAAAUGUAAAAUAAACAAACACAACAAGAAA
rnacentral:lncRNA from 1 species